rnacentral:pre_miRNA from 1 species
AAUUUAAUGGAAACAUUUCUGUACAAACUAGAUUACUGAAACCAAUGUGUACAAGUAUGUCUGAUACAUU